rnacentral:rRNA from 1 species
AUGGCAAGGUAUUGGUGGAGCAGCUCAAUUGAUCGCAAAUCUCUGCACUGGAUUGAUUGGACCACUCUAGCCAAACCAAAAGUUGCAGGAGGCAUGGGGUUUUCUGACUUGGAGGUGUUCAAUAUAGCUCUACUUGGAAAACAUGGCUGGAACAUGAUUAUGAACCCGGAUUCUCUCUGUGCUCGAGUACUGAAGGGGAAGUAUUUCCCCAACAAUGAGUUUAUGGAGGUUACCAUUCCUAAAUAUGCCUCGACUACCUAGCGUGCGAUCAUUGCUGGCCGGCAAGCUCUGCGUGCAGGUUUGAUCAAACGGAUAGGAGACGGCACUUCGGUAUCUGUUUGGAAUGACAGCUGGGUUCCC